rnacentral:lncRNA from 1 species
AGAAUUCUGGUGAAAAGGUUCAAUCUGUACUGCCGUAUCACCAACAUCUGUCUUGAGGUGGUGAGCCAACAUGAUAAAAUGAGAAGCAUUACUUUCAGAGCAGCUUUCUUAGUAUCUCCAAUACUGUGUUAAAUGCAAGUUUAAACUUGCAGUACACUUACAGCAGGCUAGUUGGCAUGGGAGAAAGAAGACAGGAGCUCCUGAAAUUGCUGCGGAGACCGGCUUCAGAGCAGAAUUUAAUGAUGAGAUUCCCAAAUUUUCAAGAGCACCAGAAGAGUUCCACAGAGCCACAUAAGUGGCAUUUAAGUUACAUCAUCCCAAAUAACUGA